rnacentral:rRNA from 1 species
AGUGAACGCUGGCGGUAUGCCUAACACAUGCAAGUCGAACGGCAGCACAGUAAGAUCUUGCUCUUACGGGUGGCGAGUGGCGGACGGGUGAGGAAUACAUCGGAAUCUACUUUUUCGUGGGGGAUAACGUAGGGAAACUUACGCUAAUACCGCAUACGACCUACGGGUGAAAGCAGUGGAUCUUCGGACCUUGCGCGAUUGAAUUAGCCGAUGUCGGAUUAGCUAGUUGGCGGGGUAAAGGCCCACCAAGGCGACGAUCCGUAGCUGGUCUGAGAGGAUGAUCAGCCACACUGGAACUGAGACACGGUCCAGACUCCUACGGGAGGCAGCAGUGGGGAAUAUUGGACAAUGGGCGCAAGCCUGAUCCAGCAAUACCGCGUGGGUGAAGAAGGCCUUCGGGUUGUAAAGCCCUUUUGUUGGGAAAGAAAAGCAGCAGGUUAAUACCCCGCUGUUCUGACGGUACCCAAAGAAUAAGCACCGGCUAACUUCGUG